rnacentral:rRNA from 1 species
AUUGAACGCUGGCGGAAUGCUUUACACAUGCAAGUCGAGCGGCAGCGCGGGGCAACCUGGCGGCGAGCGGCGAACGGGUGAGUAACACAUCGGAACGUGCCCAGACGUGGGGGAUAGCCCGGCGAAAGCCGGAUUAAUACCGCAUACGAUCUGAGGAUGAAAGCGGGGGAUCGCAAGACCUCGCGCGUUUGGAGCGGCCGAUGGCAGAUUAGGUAGUUGGUGGGGUAAAGGCUUACCAAGCCUGCGAUCUGUAGCUGGUCUGAGAGGAUGAUCAGCCACACUGGGACUGAGACACGGCCCAGACUCCUACGGGAGGCAGCAGCGGGGAAUUUUGGACAAUGGGCGCAAGCCUGAUCCAGCCAUUCCGCGUGCAGGACGAAGGCCUUCGGGUUGUAAACUGCUUUGUACGAACGAAAGACCUUCUCUAAUACAGAGGGGUCAUGACGGUACCGUAAGAAUAAGCACCGGCUAACUACGUGCCAGCAGCCGCGGUAAAC